UAGGGAAUCUUCCACAAUGGACGCAAGUCUGAUGGAGCAACGCCGCGUGAGUGAAGAAGGCUUUCGGGUCGUAAAACUCUGUUGUUGGAGAAGAAUGGUCGGCAGAGUAACUGUUGUCGGCGUGACGGUAUCCAACCAGAAAGCCACGGCUAACUACGUGCCAGCAGCCGCGGUAAUACGUAGGUGGCAAGCGUUAUCCGGAUUUAUUGGGCGUAAAGCGAGCGCAGGCGGUUUUUUAAGUCUGAUGUGAAAGCCCUCGGCUUAACCGAGGAAGCGCAUCGGAAACUGGGAAACUUGAGUGCAGAAGAGGACAGUGGAACUCCAUGUGUAGCGGUGAAAUGCGUAGAUAUAUGGAAGAGCACCAGUGGCGAAGGCGGCUGUCUGGUCUGUAACUGACGCUGAGGCUCGAAAGCAUGGGUAGCGAACAGGAUUAGAUACCCUGGUAGUCCAUGCCGUAAACGAUGAAUGCUAGGUGUUGGAGGGUUUCCGCCCUUCAGUGCCGCAGCUAACGCAUUAAGCAUUCCGCCUGGGGAGUACGACCGCAAGGUUGAAAC
rnacentral:rRNA from 1 species